rnacentral:tRNA from 1 species
GGCUGGUUAGCUCAGUUGGUUAGAGCGUGGUGCUAAUAACGCCAAGGUCGUGGGUUCGAUCCCCAUACUGGCUA